CUUGGAUCAAGCAGCUAUUACCCCACUAAUUAGAAAUUAUAUCCCUGUAUGUUAUGUUUUUGCAAGUAUUUAUCCAAUUGCAGUUUAAACAUCUGUAUAGACUCUGACAAAACCACCUCUUCGGGCAAAGCAUUCCAUAUCCUUAUUGCUCUUACUGUAAAAAAAACCUUUUCUUUGCCUUAGAUGAAAUCGCCUUUCUUCCAGCCUAAAUGUGUG